rnacentral:lncRNA from 1 species
CGGCGGCCCGCUCCCACCCCCCGCAGCGCUGCGGAGCCGGGGCUCGGCGGUGCCCCCGUCCCCUCUCCCCUCGCCCUGAGGUAAGACCCGGGCAGGGGCGCCAGACGGCACGGCGCUGAGCGGCCCCGGGACGGAGAUGCCCUCCGGAGGGGCUGCGGGAGCACAGGUGUACUGCGGUGGUCUCGGCGCGUUUGUCAGCACCGGCACCCAGAGCACGGCAACGUUCAGUCCAGAAUCAGACGAUCUGCGGCUGACGUGUCGCUUCAGCCCCUGCUCAGCAGAACUACAAGCGAGGAGCAGCACGAGCACGUCCUGAAGUACAGAAGCACACCAGCCUGGAUCUAUGCUGCGACCCAGCAUUCCGCUUCCCUUCACAACAGCACCCUCAGCUCCGAGCUCCUCGUAGCCGAGAUGCUUUCAGCGAAGGCUGUACCCUGGGCCUCUCUGUGCCGGAGGCCAGCAGCACCUCCUGCCAUAAUCCAGCACAAAUGACACAGUGUUC